rnacentral:rRNA from 1 species
GAAGSYCCCAAGCGUUAUCCGGAUUUAUUGGGUUUAAAGGGUGCGUAGGCGGGCUAUUAAGUCAGUGGUGAAAGCCCCAAGCUUAACUUGGGAACUGCCAUUGAUACUGAUGGUCUUGAGUACAUUUGAGGUGGGCGGAAUGUGUCAUGUAGCGGUGAAAUGCUUAGAUAUGACACAGAACACCGAUUGCGAAGGCAGCUCACUAAACUGUAACUGACGCUGAGGCACGAAAGCGUGGGGAGCAAACAGGAUUAGAUACCCUGGUAGUCCACGCCCUAAACGAUGAUCACUCGAUGUGUGCGAUAUACUGUACSSGUCUGAGCGAAAGCAUUAAGUGAUCCACCUGGGGAGUACGACCGCAAGGUUG